GAUGAACGCUGGCGGCGUGCUUAACACAUGCAAGUCGAACGGAAAGGCCCAAGCUUGCUUGGGUACUCGAUUGGCGAACGGGUGAGUAACACGUGGGUGAUCUGCCCUGCACUUCGGGAUAAGCCUGGGAAACUGGGUCUAAUACCGGAUAGGACCACAUUUUGGAUGGUGUGGUGGAAAGUUUUUCGGUGUGGGUUGAGCUCGCGGCCUAUCAGCUUGUUGGUGGGGUAAUGGCCUACCAAGGCGUCGACGGGUAGCCGGCCUGAGAGGGUGUACGGCCACAUUGGGACUGAGAUACGGCCCAGACUCCUACGGGAGGGAGCAGUGGGGAAUAUUGAACAAUGGGCGCCAGCCUGAUGCAGCGACGCCGCGUGGGGGAUGACGGCCUUCGGGUUGUAGACUCAUUUCGCUAGGGACGAAGCGUUAUGUGACGGUACCUGGAGAAGAAGCACCGGCUAACUACGUG
rnacentral:rRNA from 1 species